GAAAGUACUCUUUAAUUAGAAGCCACUGUUAAAAUGCAGAGAAAUGCAGGUGUGUUAUGGUGACAGCCAUAUACCCUUGAGUGGCAUUGACUCAUAGGAAAUGCUCAAAGAUGAAGCACAUAGUGUGGUCCCAGAUAACUGGGAGCUGGGACAGGAGGAUUCCAUGAGCACAUGAGUGAUGUGAUGCUAUCCUGGGCAACAUAGCAAAAUGGUGUGUGUGUGUGUGUGUGUGUGUGUGUGUGUGUGGAGAGAGAGAGAGAGAGAGAGAGAGAAGAAAGGGAGGGAUGCCUGGGGAAGGGGAGGGCAAAGGGUAUGGUGGGGGAGGGCGGGGGAAGGGAUGAGGUGAAGGAGGGCAGGGGGGGUAGGAGAUGGAGCAGAAAGGGGAUGGGACAAAGGAAAUCCUGGUCAAGACCACAUCAAAAGACACAGAGAACAAAUAACUCUGGCAGGGUUUGGGACCAAGCUUUCCUGUUGCCCCAGCUCUCACCACUCCAUCACACUGCCCUCAGACAUAGAGGUGACAAAGCAGUUAUAAACAGAGUAUAUGACUUCAAAGGCCUUCAUGUAAGCCUGUGAGGAACAAGAAAAGCUGACCCCUGGGGUGGGUGUUACAAGUGCAUCCAGCUUCCCCUGAACAGAGUUGGUCACAGAGAAGGCUGAAGGACUCCAGACUCACACGGGGGGGGGGGGGGGGGAGAACUGGGGGCUCCUCAGAUGCAAGGCAACCGAGGGAGGCCACAACCUCCUCUACCUGUCCAAUGGUGGUGAAAUGAAAAAAGACAAGAAAGUAAAGAUCGUGCAUCAGGGACAACUAGUUCCUCAGGAUGUCACUCCGUGAAGACUGGCUGCUGCUGGAGAGGUCACCUGAAGCACAGAAGAGAGGGGUAUGCAGCGUUCCUUCUUCCUGGCUGGCCCAUCCCAGUCUUCUGACAAAUGUCUCCUCCGUCCAAACCCAGUCAGCAAUUGGAGAAGCCUGUGAACGCAUUCCUGUGGUAGCCACCUCUGUUCAUCCUAAAAAUCCAAGGAGAAAGACCACAGACCCAAACCAUCAUGGCCAAAUUAGUCAAAGCACGCACUUAAUCGAAACACGCUCUUUAUUUGUGCACACGGGCUGCCUCCCUCUAAGGCAGAAUUUGAGAGGUCUGUAUGGGAAGUGAGGAAGGCAAGGUUUUUAUAGUUCAAGGGUAGGAGGUUUCCAAAUGAGGGAUUUGGUGGGUAAAAUAAGGGAGGUUACAGGAGAAGAACAUUAACAUAAUAAGUUAGUCCUAAAGACCUCCUGAAGCAAAGACCUGACUGCAAGCUGCUCCUAAGGUAGUCAUAACAACAGGUAGCUAUAACAACCUUUUGAAACAAAAGUUCGGUUGCAAGAUGGUUACAAUAACUUUUUUGGGGGGGAAAGAAAGGGCAUGAUUGCCAGAACAUCUGUAGUUAAGGUUACAGGUGGGGCAUAGACCAAUCCUUGAGAAACAGACUUAGUCAUAAAUAGGAACGAGCCUCGUUUGUCUUCACUGUAAGAUGGCUUUCAAGCCUAAGAUGGAGGGAGGCUGAUUCGUCACUUUCAGAUGAGAGGCCAAAUAAAAGUCUUACACUGCCCAGCAAAGGAACCAAACAGAUGCAAGCCCACCUUGUCUUGUCGUUCUACAGAGUAAGGGAUUUAAGUUUGAUUCUAACUAUAAACCAUAAUCUUUAACUAGUUUUUAUUUAACAGAAGGAAAAAAAAAACCUCUCUUCAAGUCAUAGUUGAAUUUUAAACGUCUUGCCCACAGGUGUGUGUGUGUGUGUGUGUGUGUGUGUGUGUGUGUGCUAUAGUGCCUGUAUGAUGUGUUGUAUGUAAAGUGCACAAUGCGGGAUGCAUACCUACUGAGGCCAGUCUGCUAACUCUCCACUUUACUCUCUUGGGACCCUGGAGCCUAUUUCUUUUCUACUAGCCUAGCCGGCCAGUGAACCCACACGCGGGCACUGCAAGCACGCUUGCUUUUCCAGUGAGCCAUCCAUGAACCCAACAAGCCCGUGUCUCUUUAAAGUCAGGAAAACAAAGGAGUACCGACUCCUCAGGCUAGAUGCUAUUGUAUGUAUUGUAUUCCAUGUAUUGUAUGUAUUGAGUGAUGCUAAUAAGGAGGAACGUUGUCCUUUUUAAGGGAAAGGAAGUUGGGUCCCAGUCGGCAAGUUUUUGGAAGACUUACUGAAACACUUUUGGGUGGACUCUUCAUGACUGUGUAUGGUCUGAAAAGGUGACAUGUUAAGAGUCCUGGUCAUACUUCUUCAGGAAUGUGAGGGUUGGCAGGGGAUUUUGACUCCUCACGUUGGUACUGGAGGGGAACGCUGGAGCGCCCUCUCGUGGACACAGUCUCGUGGACACAGUUAGUCAAGCGUGCCUGCCGGCCUCCAAGCACUUCAAGGGGCAGGUCUCAAAAGGUACUUAUUACGGAUUAUAUAGGGUGUGCCUCACUUUCAGAAGAUUUUCACAAAAGUGACUCGCAAAGUCCAGGCCUGUAAGUGCAAAUUGUGUCGGAAGGUUUCAAUAGGAUCUGAGCUCAAGCCCCAACAAGACAUUCUAUCUUCUGGUUUAUAAUCAAAAAAAAAAAAAAAAAAAAAAAAGCCAUUUCCUGCAGCUUCUGACGGUUCGGGCUACGGAAGGCCAUUCUGUCGUUAAGACCACGGACUUUGAGUACAAUUUUCCUUUAACAUUUCAAGUCUGUACUCUCCUCGUGCUUCGGGAUGCAGUCACCCACACCAUGCCCUCUGCCCCACCCUGCGGCUCUGGGAUCUUUCUCAGCAAAUAAGAUCAACCAGAAUCCUUCACUUUCCACUCCACAGCUUUAGGUCUAAGCCCUGUCCCACUUAACUGUGCUGUGAACUUCAAGACCAGCAUCUUUCAGGAAACACACAGGAUUUCCCCGCUGGCGUCUUCUUCUUGUUCAUCCCUGCUCCCCAAAUCCCGAAUCUAGAUAGAGGACAACUUAGACUUGUCCUCGGGGCGCUUAUUGCCCAACAUCCAAAGCCUGGGAUAUAAACCACACGGAACAUCUGUCAAAAGCACUUUACAGUGGACGGGUGAGUCCUUCUCUUUGCUCAGUUAAUCAGAAUACAUCUACAUUCGGUUUUCUCUGAUUCUACAGGUGAGGCGGGAAUCGGAGACCCAAAAGGUCAAGUACCUUGCCCACGGAGCGGAACCCUCAGGCUCCUUGGUGCUCUAAGGCAAACGUGUACUGCUGAGACUCCGGUAGACCUAGGUUUGAAUCCCCGCUCAGCCCCGGAGUUCAAACAAGCCACUUCACUUCCUCGUGCCCAUGUCUCCUUCUGAAAACAGGAUUUCGAAUUCGGGACUGUCAUCAUGCGAGUAGAAGCAGUGCCUGGAGCAAGGUCGCCGGAACUAUAAAUGUGAGCUCCCUUUCAGACCCCGGCUUGACGAGCUGCUUCUCCGAUUUCUACAGCGGCUCCUCCCUUUCAGAGCUGCCCAGGCCACUGGGGGUGCCAACUGUGGAGCGCUGUGUCGGUCCUGACGCUGCAUCCGGUACCAGGAAUCCUUAAAGAAGCUCUGGGGAGAGCGGUGGGCAGCGAAGCGAAGAGGGGAGGCAGGAGUCAGAUAGAGGGGGCUGGGUGGAACAGAGAGAAGGCUGGCACCCACCGCAGAGGGGCCCUCUACCCCGCCUGCACCUGAAGUGUCCCCAAGUGGCCGAUGCCCGCCCUCUUCCCUCCCUUCACCCCAGCUUCUUCCCUUCCUAGCCGGCUCAGGGUGGUAGCCCCAGUACAUCCAAAGGCAAAGAGUGGUCCUCUGCUGCGUGGACGCGUGGGCACUCGGGCUCUGCGUCUCCCGCGUCCCCCGAGCUGCAGCCCCGCCUCCUGCCCGCCCCGCCCCCUCCCCGUCCCGCUAGCAGGAGGCGGGGCGUGCGCGUCGGGCUGGGGACGGAGGGGGACGCGCGUGCAGCAGCUUCUCUCCGCCGGAGCAGCCGAGCAGAAGCCGUGGCUGCCGAUCCCCCGCGGACUGGCAGUGGGCGGGGAGCGGAACUCGGGAGCCGGGCGCGCGUCGCCAGACAAGUGUUUUUGUGCGAGGCCGCGGUGGCGGCCACUUCAGCUCUCUGAACGCACGGUGCAGGGGAUGCGAGCGGCCGUGGCGGCUGUGCCAGGAGGAUCCGAGCGCCGUUGACCUGAGCGAGGGGACACACUCCCCCGGGUCGGCUGAGUGCGGGGGAGGGGACGGCGGGAGCGCAGGGUGCACGCCGGGCGGGGCAGGGGGUCAGUGAUGACCGGGCGCGCGGGGAGGCUGCACGCCGCCGCCGCCGCCCGGAGCAUCUGCCGCCUGAGCUGCGGAUCGCAGCCGCCGCCCGGGCCAUGGAGACGCUGAACGGCCCCGCGGGCGGCGGCGCCCCGGACACCAAGCCGCAGCCAGCCGGCCAGCAUCACCGCCACCACCACCUGCACCCGCUGGCCGAGAGGAGGCGGCUGCACCGCGCACCCUCGCCCGCCAGACCCUUCCUCAAGGACCUGCACACGCGGCCCGCCACGGCCACCCCCUCUGCGGGCCGUGCCCCGACUCCCGCGGCUCCUCGCUCGCCUAGCCUUGCCGGGAAGGCGCCGCCGUCGCCCGGGCCCCCGGCCGCGCCCGGUCGCCUCUCCCGACGCAGCGGUGUAGUCCCCGGCGCGAAGGACAAGCCGCCGCCGGGCGCCGGAGCCAGGUCGGCGGGCGGCGCUAAGGCCGUCCCGGGGACCAGGAGGGCGGCGCGCGCGGGGCCGGCGGAGCCACUGUCCCGGGUUGGGAGGCCGACUGGGGCCGAGCCACCGCCUGCCGUCGCGAAGGGUCGCAAAACCAAGCGCGGCCCCGGGACGCCUCCAGCUCGCGCCGUCGUGCCCCCGGCUCGCGCCUCCCGGGUCCCCGCCGUGACCCUCUCUGUGACCUCGGUGGCUGGCUGUCGUAUCAACCACACGGACAGCAGCUCGGAUCUCUCCGACUGCGCCUCCGAACCCUUGUCUGAUGAGCAGCGCCUACUCCCCGCCGCCAGCAGCGACGCUGAGUCGGGCACCGGCUCCAGUGACCGGGAACCCAUACGCGGAGCACCCACUCCGAGCUCCGGAUCCCGCGGGCCGCCGCCGGGCAGCCCCGAGCCCCCUAUCCUGCUCGCGGCGCCCCCUGUCGCCAGUGCCUGUCUCGGGGGCCGAAGCAGCCCAGGCGGGGCCUCCACAGGGUCCCCGGGACCCGGUUCUCAGGAGGAUGUUGGGGGCCGAGCGCCACCGGAGCGGACGAUUCUGGGGACCUCCAAGGAGCCUAGCCUGGGCGAACAGCCCCGGCUCUUGGUGGUGGCUGAGGAAGAGGAGUUGCUGAGGGAGAUGGAGGAACUGCGCUCGGAGAACGACUACCUCAAGGACGAGCUGGAUGAGCUCCGUGCAGAGAUGGAGGAGAUGAGGGAUAGCUAUCUGGAGGAGGACGGGUACCAGCUGCAGGAGCUCCGGAGAGAGCUGGACCGUGCUAACAAGAACUGCAGAAUCCUGCAGUACCGACUCAGGAAAGCCGAGCAGAAGAGCCUGAAAGUGGCGGAAACAGGGCAGGUGGACGGGGAGCUCAUCAGAAGCCUGGAGCAGGACUUGAAGGUAGCCAAAGAUGUGUCUGUCAGAUUACACCACGAACUCGAGACCGUGGAGGAGAAGCGCGCUAAGGCUGAAGACGACAACGAAACGCUCCGGCAGCAGAUGAUCGAGGUGGAGGUAUCCAGACAGGCCCUCCAGAAUGAGGUGGAGAGACUGAGGGAGAGUUCUCUGAAGAGAAGAGGCAGUCGGGAAAUGUACAAAGAGAAGAAACUUGUUAACCAGAAUGGUGGAGUGGAACGUCCUGGGAACUGCAGGUCGGCCACCAAAACCCAAAGGAAGCUGGCACCGAGGCGCAAGAUAACCCUCCCUCGGGCUAUUCUUGCCUGGCAGGAUGACAGUGCGGAUUUGAAGUGUCAGCUUCAGUUUGUCAAAGAGGAAGCUUCCCUGAUGCGCAAAAAGAUGGCCAAGUUGGGGCGGGAGAAGGACGAGUUGGAGCAGGAACUGCAGAAGUAUAAGUCCCUCUAUGGUGAUGUGGACAGUCCCCUCCCAACAGGGGAGGCUGGUGGUCCCCCCAGCACCAGGGAGGCAGAGCUGAAACUGCGGCUGAAGUUGGUGGAGGAGGAAGCCAGCAUCUUGGGCAGGAAGAUCGUGGAGCUGGAGGUGGAAAACCGUGGCCUCAAAGCAGAGAUGGAAGACAUACGGGUUCAGCAUGAACGCGAGGGAACAGGCAGGGACCACGUGCCAAGCACUCCUACCUCACCCUUCGGAGACUCAAUGGAGUCCUCCACGGAGCUCCGCCGGCACCUGCAGUUUGUGGAAGAAGAGGCUGAGCUGCUGAGGAGAUCCAUCUCUGAGAUUGAAGAUCACAACCGGCAGUUGACCCACGAGCUGAGCAAGUUCAAGUUUGAGCCUCACCAGGAGUCAGGGUGGCUUGGGGACGGUGUGUCUAAGGGCCCCGCGGCCAGCGUUCCCCUGCAGGAGGAGCUGAAGUCAGCCAGGCUACAGAUCGAUGAGCUGAGCGGGAAGGUACUGAAGCUGCAGUGUGAGAACCGGCUGCUUCUGUCCAAUGCCCAACGGGGUGACCUCGCCGCACAUCUGGGGCUGCGCGCUCCUAGCCCCCGGGACAGUGAUGCCGAGAGUGACGCGGGCAAGAAAGAGAGCGAUGGGGAGGAGGGCCGCCUUCCCCAGCCAAAGCGAGAAGGCCCUGUUGGUGGGGAGAGCGACUCGGAGGACAUGUUUGAGAAGACCUCGGGCUUCGGAAGCGGAAAGCCGUCGGAGGCUAGUGAGCCAUGCCCGGCAGAGCUGCUAAGGGUCCGGGAGGAUACCGAGUGCCUGGUGACCAUAAAGCUGGAGGCUCAGCGGCUUGAGCGGACUGUGGAGCGCCUCAUCUCUGAUACAGAUGGUUUCAUCCACGACUCAGGACUGCGGGGCAAUGGAUUGGCCUCACCUGGAGUCCAAGGCGGAGGAGGUGAGGGCAACAGCCCGAGUGAGCCCCACUUGUUGGAGACCAUCAAUGUGAGGAUGAAGGCUUUCAGGAAAGAGCUGCAGGCCUUCCUGGAGCAGAUGUCCCGGAUUGUGGAUGGUCUCUCGCCCUUAUCCCACCUCACAGAGUCAUCCAGCUUCCUCUCCACUGUGACUUCUGUGUCCCGGGACUCCCCCAUCGGGACCCUGGGAAAGGAGUUGGGCCCAGACUUGCAGUCCAAACUGAGAGAGCAGCUGGAAUGGCAGCUCAAUCAGGAUCGAGGGGACGAGCGAGAGGGCCUGCGUCUCCGAGCCACUCGGGAGCUGCACCGGCGCGCGGAUGGGGAUUCCGGGAGCCACCAUGGGCUGGGAGGCCAGAGCUGUUUCAACCUAGAGCUCAGGGGCUCCCCAGUCUUACCUGAGCAGAGUGUGUCUGUAGAAGAGCUACAGGGUCAGCUCGAGCAGGCGGCCAGACUCCAUCAAGAGGAGACAGAGACAUACACAAACAAGAUCCGUAAGAUGGAGGAGGACCACCUCUACGCCCUGCGGUGGAAGGAACUGGAGAUGCACAGCCUGGCCCUGCAGAACACCCUUCACAAGCGGACGUGGAGCGACGAGAAGAAUCUGCUGCAGCAGGAGCUCAGGUCCCUGAAGCAGAACAUCUUCCUCUUCUACGUCAAGCUCAGGUGGCUGCUGAAACACUGGCGCCAAGGGAAGCAGAUGGAGGAGGGAGGAGAGGAUCUGGAGGAGAGCGAACAUCCAGAGAAUGUGCCUGGGCUUGCUGAGCUUGGAGUCCAGGGGGUUCACCAGACAGAUGGGAUAGACCAGGAGGAUGCUGACCAAGGCUGUAGCCUUCCCAUGGGAGAGCAUGCCCCACACUCCCUGGUACAGAUCAGCGAACACGGAUCACGGCUACAGAGUUCAGACGGGGGACCACUUAACAAACAGGUGGUGGAAAACCAGCAGCUCUUCAGGGCCCUCAAGGCUCUGCUGGAGGACUUCCGUUCGGAGCUGCGCGAAGACGAGCAUGCGCGGCUGCGGCUGCAGCAGCAGUACGCCAGCGACAAGGCUGCGUGGGAUGUGGAGUGGGCUGUGCUCAAGUGCCGCCUGGAACAGCUGGAAGAGAAGACUGAGAAAAGCUUGGGCGAGCUGGACUCCUCUGCUGAGGGCAAAGGGGCCUUGAAGAAGGAGAGAGAGGUGCACCAGAAACUGCUGGCUGACAGCCACAGCCUGGUGAUGGACCUGCGCUGGCAGAUCCAUCACCGAGAGAAGAACUGGAACCGGGAGAAGGUGGAGCUGCUGGAGCGUCUGGACAGCGAGCGGCAGGAGUGGGGGCGACAGAAGGAGGAGCUCCUGUGGCGGGUGGAGCAGUUACAGAAAGAGAAAAGUCCCCGGAGAAGCGGCAGUUUCCUCUGCAGCCGAAGGGAAGACGACACACGCCCUUACCCGCACCAAGGAAGCCUUCACUCCUCCAGACCUGUGUCCAUGUGGCCCUGUGAAGACGCCGACUCCAUCCCAUUUGAAGACCGGCCGCUCUCCAAACUGAAGGAGUCGGACAGGUGCUCGGCCAGUGAGAACCUGUACUUGGACGCUUUGUCCCUGGAUGAUGAUCCAGGGGAUCCGCCACCCCUCAGGAACUGCCUUGCCGAGGAAGAAGAAAGUCGCAAGGGCAAUCUUCAGAGGGCUGUGUCUGUGUCCUGUAUGUCCGAGUUCCAGCGUCUGAUGGACGUCUCUCCGUUCCUGCCUGAGAAGGGGCUACCUUCCGCCGGCAGCAAGGAGGAUGUCACUCCACCCUUGUCUCCCGACGACUUGAAAUACAUUGAAGAAUUCCAUAGCAACGACUGGGAUUACGCAUCCCCCAGGGCUGAGGCCGAUCGGCCUCCAGACCCCUGGGCAGACAGGACCGAGAUGGGGAGGGUGGGGCAUGAAGCCACCACAGAGCCUUGUCCGGAUCCCUCCUGGUAUCUGACCACAAGUGUCACGAUGACGACAGACACCAUGACCAGUCCGGAGCACUGCCAGAAGCAGCCACUGCGGACCCAUGUCCUCACUGAGCAGUCUGGUGUGCACGUGCUGCACAGCCCGCCUGCCAUUCGCCGGGUUGACAGUAUAGCAUCAGGCGGCGAGGGCAGGAGCCGAGCGGACCCCGAGGGCCCCUUUCCUAUGAGCAGAGCAAGAGGGAACCUGGCAGAUGCCAAGGGGGGUCAUCCAGAACCUGUGCUCAACAGGUGGCCUUGCACGCCACCCAGACAUCCCCGGGACUGUGUGGAGGGGUCUCUUCGCCCCCUCGACAGACCUAUCUGCCCCUCCCUGGGAUUUGCCUCCCCUCUGAACAGCCUAGAUAUGUCUAAGAACAUGAGUGAUGACAUGAAGGAGGUGGCUUUUUCUGUCAGGAAUGCCAUCUGCGCCGGUCCUGCCGAGCCACACGUCAGGGAUAUGGCCUGCCAGACCAAUGGGUCCAGGACAGCAGGGACGCAGACCAUCCAGACAAUCAGCGUGGGCCUGCAGACCGAGGCCCUACGUGCCAGCGGCGUCACCAGCAGCCCCCACAAGUGUCUCACGCCAAAAGCCGGAGGUGGCACCACACCCGUGUCUUCUCCUUCCCGCAGCCUUAGGAGUAGACAGGUGGCCCCUGCCAUUGAGAAGGUGCAGGCCAAGUUUGAACGCACCUGCUGCUCCCCAAAGUACGGUUCUCCCAAACUUCAGAGAAAGCCCCUCUCAAAAGCUGACCAGCCAAAUAGCAGGACCUCACCAGGCAUACCCCAGAAAGGGUUCAGCGAGUCAGCCUGGGCCCGCUCCACCACCACGAGGGAGAGCCCUGUGCACACCACCAUCAAUGAUGGCCUCUCCAGCCUCUUCAAUAUCAUCGACCACAGUCCCAUCGGGGUGCGGGCUGGGAGCCGAUCUCGGUCAGCAGAACCUCGACAGGAGCUGGGUCCAGGCCAGGAAACGGGCACCAGUUCCAGAGGGAGGUCGCCCAGCCCGCUAGGGGUAGGCUCCGAGACGUUCAGGGAGGAGGGAGGAGAGAGCACGCCAGUGAGACAGGACUUAUCUGCGCCCCCUGGCUACACGCUCACUGAGAAUGUGGCCCGGAUCCUCAACAAAAAGUUGUUGGAGCAUGCCUUAAAGGAGGAGAGGAAGCAAGCCAGCCAUGGCUCCUCAGGUCUCACCAGCGACAGCCACACUGGAGAACCAGUGCCAGCCGAGCCAGGAUCCAUGGAGGUAAAUUGGGUAACUGCUCCCUUCCCCAUCAGCUCUGCCUUAGGCUUCCCAGCAUAGGAAGCCUGGAGUGGAGUCCGUGUAGCUAGGGCAGAAGUGGAGUAAAGAUGGAAUGGAACAGGCAGAAAGGAACCCAGAGACCCUUGUAAGCAAGUUUACUCUACCUGUUCCCAGAAUAGUUAAACACGUGCUUUAUUCUGGCUUCAUCCUCUGGUCAGGCUAAAAAUGACUCUUCUUGGUCUAGUGUAUAUUUGCUCUGUGUGUGACGUGAUGCAAGUGUAGAACUUGAGUAAGCGGAAACUGUAUGCGUGUCUGUCUGUCAGGAUUUCUACACACCCAGUAGUUCUUUAUGUGUGGUUGUGUGAGGGGCAUGUAACAGUGCAUGUGGAUAACACGGACUCAAAAUUCUUUCAUUGGGAACUACAAGAAGAGCUUUUGGAUUCUCAGGCCACCUCAGUACAGAUCAGCAGUUUGUAGAUACGGUAGGGGGCAAAAAAUGUGUGCCCUAAUAGAACAUGGUAAUGGUGUCAAAAGUCUGUUAGCACUGGAUUCUUCUGAUAUGGAUGCCCACAGGUAUUCUUGCACCGAAAACAAAACAAACACAAAAACAAAACAAAACCACAAAUAAACAAGGACACUCACAGUGUGGACACUUACAGGCAUGAUAUUGCACUUUAGCCCUUGGGAGGCAGAGGAAGGUGUGGCUCUUUGAGUUCUAGGCUGUCCAAGGCUAUGUCAUGAGAACUCUCAGAGAGAGAGAGAGAGAGAGAGAGAGAGAGAGAGAGAGAGAGAGAGAGAGAGAGAGAGAGAGAAAGGAAAACCCCAUGCCUGCAGUGACAGGAAGCAGCCUGAUAAUAAGAGUGGUGACAGCCUCAAGGAUUUAUGCCUCACUGUCACUGCAGUGCUGACCGAGUUUGUCUGCCCAGUAAGUAGUCACAUGACUGCAAGUCCUAGGAUCCCAGAUGUCUGCAUGGGUGUGAGCAUCGUCCAAGUCUGGCCUACCUACAGCAAGGACAGGGACAGAAGACAGCAAGAUGCCCCGGGCGACUCACCGCUCCCUUGCAUGGCACCAGCCCUGGCUUCCUGGUGACAUGAGGAGACAGGUUUAUGUCCUUUGUCUCCCUCAAAUUACACGUGGGGGGAGAAAUGAUUACCUUCCAAGUCUAGCCUUCCAAGGAGUACUUAACGCAAAAUAGAGUUCAAACCAGAAGCAGGUCAAGCCGGUAUUGAUUUUGACAGUUGCAGUCCUCUGACCCGCUCUUCCCAAGGUCUGAGUUGUCAGGGCAGAUUGGUUACACGCUCUGAGAAGAAUGAACAUUGUAGGGUAUGAGUUCUCAGGUAGCAAACGGUGUCUUCUCUCAUCUUGUGGCUUGGGAGGGUCUGUAUAUGUCUACUCUGCCUUCAGUUAAUAUAGAGCUUGCUUUAAGGCGUCAUCAGUUGGCUACCUUGAGUUUCUACUCGUAUUAGAGAUUUAUUGGGGGCACAAAAGAACCUUUGUAUUCUUGACAGUGAAUGUUUAGGGCAGUCUACGAACAUAGAUAACCCAGAGGACAUGGUUUCUCCCCCUUCUCUCAGAUGUUCACGUGUUCUAGAUGCCAGGAGAAUCAGUCAUUGCUGUUUGGACUGACCCCCUCACAGUAGUCACAUCGGAAAUCGCCUUUCCUCUCUUGGUGAAUGUGUGCCAGGUCUGGUUUUCACGCCCAGAUAAGCAGAGUUGUUGGUGUUUUUCCUCGCCUGUGCCAAGCACCCUGUGUGGUAUCACCACUGGAAUCUCAACAUCUGAGAGACAGGAAGUGUUUCUUCCCCUGAUUUCCUCACCUCUCAAGUGACCUUGCCCUCUCUCUCAAAGCUUGGCAGCGAGGCAGAGAGGUGCCGAGAGAAUGAUGCAACGUAGGUGGCACCCUUCCCUCCAAGAGCCUAAUGUACCCUGGAGGGAACGGUUGAGCGUGGGCAGCGGUAGCUUGUGGUGAUCAGAACAAAGCAGGCCGUGUGGCCAGCCCUCCUAUUGUCCUCCCUCCCUUUGCCACGGAAGUUCUGUCAGAGACCUGGGAAGACCCUGCCCCUCGGUUCUGCUUCCUCCAGUGUCUUGACUCACAGCAGAAGACAGUCCUGUGAGCUGAGCCACGGCUUCCUUCUGCCCGGUCUCCCUCUGAGUGAACACAGAGGCCACCGCUCCCUCCUGGAGGCCAUCUUGGAGCAGGGGCUCUCUACUUGUACUGUUUUGUUUGAGACACUUUCCAACCGACUUGUUGUUUUUUUUUCUCUUCUUUCUCUGUCUGUCUGUCCAGAACCAAACUGUCUUACUAACUGCCCCCUGGGGACUCUAGCCCUGCCUGCCUCACACUGAACUGCCUUGUUCUGCGCUCGCGCCCUCCCUAGAGCCCUGCUUUUCCAGGCCAGAGAGACCAGCAAACCGCCGCCUUCCAUCCCGUUGGGCCCCACCUUCCCCCACUGCCUCACAGUCACAGUCACCCGGACACCCGAUGUCCAUGGAGGAACACGGUGAGGAGGACCCACCAGAGGAGAAGCCACACCUGUGACAGGAUGCAAGCUUGCGUGGAUGAUCGCCGGAAUAGUUCACUGUAAUUUGCAUAACCAGACCAUCACCGCCAUCAGCCAACCUCCAUCCCAAAGGAAAGAUGUAGAUCCUUUCUCAAGGUCGAAGGAUGCUUUUAAAAACACACGGCUACUGAAUGUUCAACCUGGUAAACUGAGAUGUUUCGGGAAUGAAACAGUAAACGUGCCUGUAAUCAUUUUUUCAUAGCUCAGAAAACUAUUUUUGUCUCCCAUCUUUUUUACACAUGAUAUAUUAAACAAAAAAGGUAAAUAAGGUAUAAAUAGAUUUAAAGAGUUUUAAAAUGUACAUUUGAAGAGAUUCCGAGCACCCUUGUUCUCAGUUCUGCCUGCCUGUUGAAUUUGCACUGUUCCGUUCUGGUUGGGUUUCUCCAUGUUGAGUUCGGAGUGUUCUAAGUUAAAUUUUAUUUUGUCCAGUCUUAAUUUUUCAGGAGUCUUUCUUAACGCUUUAGACUGUCUUAACUCAGUGAACUUUUUGUAAUGAUAAGGCCGUGAGGCCAGAAGACGAGAGUGUCUGUCAUCUGAAAGGAUGCAGGCCAACCUUGCUGAAAAGGUACGGAGCCCUUCAGAUAGACUUAAGACUCUGCGUGACCCAUCUGCCCAGCCUGACCGCACGUCCUCGGGCACCUGUACAUACACUGCUCUGUCCCUGCCCUCACCUGCGUGUGUGUCAGUCUGGUCUACUGUAACUUGUUGUGAAGUUCCUUGUACCGUGUGUACUGUUGCUGUUGGUCUCUUGUACCAGUAAGACAAUGGCUCCAUUUUUUUUAAUUAUUGUUAAAACAUUAACUGAUGGUGUACAAAUCUCACUUGACAUUUUUCUUGUUUAAGGAAAAGCACCAUAAAAAAAAAAAUAAGGAGGCCAAACCGAGACAGACAAAGGUGCCUCAGGUCUGCCUGAGACCACGGUGACAUGGAAAUAAAGUCCUUACAA